AUACGGAGGGGGCUAGCGUUGUUCGGAUUUACUGGGCGUAAAGCGCGCGGAGGCGGUAUAUCAAGUUAGGCGUUAAAGCCCCGGGCUCAACCCGGGAACUGCGCUUAUUACUGAUAAACUAGAGUCCGGGAGAGGGUGGCGGAAUUCCCACUGUAGAGGUGAAAUUCGUAGAUAUUGGGAAGAACACCAGUUGCGAAGGCGGCCACCUGGACCGGUACUGACGCUGAGGCGCGAAAGCGUGGGGAGCAAACAGGAUUAGAAACCCGAGUAGUCC
rnacentral:rRNA from 1 species